rnacentral:rRNA from 1 species
ACCGGCAGCUCAAGUGGUGGCCAUUUUUAUUGGGUCUAAAGCGUUCGUAGACGGUUUGAUAAGUCUCUGGGGAAAUCCUGCAGCUUAAAUGUGGGACUAGCUGGAGAUACUGUUAGACUUAUGUUCGGGAGAGGUUAGGAGUACUCCCGGAGUAGUGUUGAAAUCCUUUAAUCCUGUGAGGACCACCUAUUACGAAGACGCCUAACUGGAUCUAUCCUGACGUUGAGUAACGAAAACCGGGGUCGCGAACCG